GUGGGGAAUCUUAGACAAUGGGGGCAACCCUGAUCUAGCCAUGCCGCGUGAGUGAUGAAGGCCUUAGGGUCGUAAAGCUCUUUCGCUGGGGAAGAUAAUGACGGUACCCAGUAAAGAAACCCCGGCUAACUCCGUGCCAGCAGCCGCGGUAAUACGGAGGGGGUUAGCGUUGUUCGGAAUUACUGGGCGUAAAGCGCGCGUAGGCUGAUUGGAAAGUUGGGGUUGAAAUCCCGGGGCUCAACCCUGGAAUGGCCUUCAAAACUCCCAGUCUUGAGGUCGGGAGAGGUGAGUGGAAUUCCGAGUGUAGAGGUGAAAUUCGUAGAUAUUCGGAGGAACACCAGUGGCGAAGGCGGCUCACUGGCUCGAUACUGACGCUGAGGUGCGAAAGCGUGGGGAGCAAACAGGAUUAGAUACCCCAGUAGUCC
rnacentral:rRNA from 1 species